rnacentral:lncRNA from 1 species
AGAAAAGUGAUCAGGACCACUCCCGAUGCAUGGCUUCCCCAUCUCUUCCUGGGUAGGCCCUCUUGGGGAAAUAUCCCCACCUCUGUACCCAUGAUUGAGUCUUUAGGCAUAGAUAUCUUACUAAAGGAAUUUUUUGCUACCCUCCAUUCUUAGGGUUGUGACUUUCAGAGGAGAAAAUUCUCAGAACAGAUUAAAGCAGGUUAAACUCCAAGUUGCCAAUUUUCAUUGCAUAAGAAAUGAUUUCAUCAAGAACAUUGUGAUGAUACUCUUUAAAUAUUUAAUUGAGGUCUUUGCAGAUUUAAUUAAUUAAAUUAAGAUGAGGUUAGACUGGAUUAGGGCGAGCCAGGAAUGCCAAGGAUGGUGAGCAACUAUGAAGAGCAGGAGAAGGAAGGAAGAACGCCCUUACAGAGCUUUCAGAGAGAGCACAGCUCUGUAUAACACCUUGAUUGCAGACUUCUGGCUCCAGAAUGAUGUAUUUGAACUAAAAAAAAUAAAAACAUCUAAACCUACUUUAUGACUGCUAUAUAUUGACAUAAAAAGGAAACCAAACGGACAACAAAAGACACCAGGAAAUUGGAACUUCUUAGAUAAACAUAUGGCUUCUUCCUGCAGAGCAUCCCCUCAGUAAAUCAUGGCACCUGAAUCUCCAUCUUGGACUCUGCUUCUGAAAACUGAACAUGAAACAGUAUAAGUCCAGGGUAAAUAAGGAGGGUGGCAACAGUGUGAAGAAGCCAGCCUGGAGUUGGAACCAGAAGAUGAAUGGUUGAGGGGACUCUCUAAACUGGAACAAAUUGACAUAACAUGUCGACACAGAUGCCACAGCUUGACAAAAACCCUACCAGAAAUUGCUUCAACUGCACCUGCAACUCUUGCCCAAAGCCCAAAUCAGGAGAUACAAUGAACAGCAUUUAACAUGGAUUGCGUGCAUGAACACAUUUAAUAACAAUUAUAGGAAGCUAAAUCUAAGAACCCAGGCAUUCCGAGCUCUUGUUGGAAAUCUA